rnacentral:lncRNA from 1 species
GAAUUCUAGAAGGUCCUACUGCAGUGCAAGAGGCAUUACUGCAGGUAUAAAAUCAAAGGCCCUUUCCUCAAGAGUAAUUCCAGCUGGAAAAGGACAGCCUUCCUCAAUAUCUCCUACCCAGAGGUUCCACCCUGUGCUUCCCAUGCCCUGUCCAUGCCCGGCCUGCCCAAAGCACAGCCACCCCAGAAAUGAAGAAAUCAAGUUCAUAAUGAUGAAAUCUCUCAGUUGAUUCACAAUUAUGCAAAUAGUGGUCAUCCAUCAGCAGCAGCAAGAGAAAGAAUAGCAGCAAUAGACAGCCCGCAUUAAGCCUCAGUUUGGGACCAUGAAGGUGGUUGAAGACACAAGAGAAAACAGAUGCAGAGAAAGAUGCUCCCAGUGGCGCUAAAAGAUGGAGAAUGUGGAGGUAAGCAGCUGUUGUGUUUCCCCUAACUUCAGGCAAAGGCUCCUGUGGGCCCCUGAGAAGCACCAGAGAACAUUCUGGCGGUGAUCAUAGCUUUCUCUAAAUACUUUUGCUCACUUUUAACUACAUCUAUCAAAAUGUUCAGUACAGUGUCAGUGCAAUUCCAUGUUGGGUGAUUUUCAAGACUGGUGGAG